GAGGGGGAGAGAGAGAGAGAGAGAGAGAGAGAGAAUUGUUUUCACGAUGAGGUAAUAAUUGAACUGCAUAAUUGACUUUGUUUUUUUGUGUAGAAUGAAGAACUGCAUUACAACUUACCAAAGGGAUACCUCCGAUAUACUGCAAAUGGAGAUAGAGAGAGAGAGAGAGAGAGAGAGAGAGAGAGAGAGAGAGAGAGAGAGAGAGAGAGAGAGAGAGAGAGAGAGAGAGAGAGAGAGAGAGAGAGAGAGAGAGAUGUAAUUGUUACCACGAUGAGGUAAUAAUUGAACUGCAUGAUUGACAGUUGUUGUUUUUUGUGCAGAAUGAAACACGGCACUACAACUUACCAGUGGUAGUCUGCGGAACUCCUACAAAUGAAUGAAACACGGCACUACAACUUACCAGUGGUAGUCUGCGGAACUCCUACAAAUGAAUGAAACACGGCACUACAACUUACCAGUGGUAGUCUGCGGAACUCCUACAAAUGGUGAGAGAGAGAGAGAGAGAGAGAGAGAGAGAGAGAGAGAGAGAGAGAGAGAGAGAGAGAGAGAGAGAGAGAGAGAGAGAGAGAGAGA